UACGAAGGGGCUAGCGUUGCUCGGAAUCACUGGGCGUAAAGGGUGCGUAGGCGGGUCUUUAAGUCAGGGUGAAAUCCUGGAGCUCAACUCCAGAACUGCCUUGAUACUGGUGAUCUUGAGUCCGGGAGAGGUGAGUGGAACUGCGAGUGUAGAGGUGAAAUUCGUAGAUAUUCGCAAGAACACCAGUGGCGAAGGCGGCUCACUGGCCCGGUACUGACGCUGAGGUGCGAAAGCG
rnacentral:rRNA from 1 species